rnacentral:rRNA from 1 species
GACGAACGCUGGCGGCGUGCUUAACACAUGCAAGUCGAACGGAAAGGCCCUGCUUUUGUGGGGUGCUCGAGUGGCGAACGGGUGAGUAACACGUGAGUAACCUGCCCUUGACUUUGGGAUAACUUCAGGAAACUGGGGCUAAUACCGGAUAGGAGCUCCUGCUGCAUGGUGGGGGUUGGAAAGUUUCGGCGGUUGGGGAUGGACUCGCGGCUUAUCAGCUUGUUGGUGGGGUAGUGGCUUACCAAGGCUUUGACGGGUAGCCGGCCUGAGAGGGUGACCGGCCACAUUGGGACUGAGAUACGGACCAGACUCGUACGGGAGGCAGCAGUGGGGAAUAUUGCACAAUGGGCGGAAGCCUGAUGCAGAAACGCCGCGUGCGGAAUGACGGCCUUCGGGUUGUAAACCGCAUUCGCCUGUGACGAAGCGUGAGUGACGGUAAUGGGUAAAGAAGCACCGGCUAACUACGUG